CCUACGGGAGGCAGCAGUAGGGAAUCUUCCACAAUGGACGAAAGUCUGAUGGAGCAACGCCGCGUGAGUGAUGAAGGUUUUCGGAUCGUAAAACUCUGUUGUAAGGGAAGAACAAGUACGAGAGGGAAUGCUCGUACCUUGACGGUACCUUGCGAGAAAGCCACGGCUAACUACGUGCCAGCAGCCGCGGUAAUACGUAGGUGGCAAGCGUUGUCCGGAAUUAUUGGGCGUAAAGCGCGCGCAGGCGGCCUUUUAAGUCUGAUGUGAAAGCCCCCGGCUCAACCGGGGAGGGUCAUUGGAAACUGGAAGGCUUGAGUACAGAAGAGAAGAGUGGAAUUCCAUGUGUAGCGGUGAAAUGCGUAGAGAUGUGGAGGAACACCAGUGGCGAAGGCGACUCUUUGGUCUGUAACUGACGCUGAGGCGCGAAAGCGUGGGGAGCAAACAGGAUUAGAUACCCUGGUAGUCCACGCCGUAAACGAUGAGUGCUAGGUGUUGGGGGGUUUCCGCCCCUCAGUGCUGAAGCUAACGCAUUAAGCACUCCGCCUGGGGAGUACGGCCGCAAGGCUGAAACUCAAAUGAAUUGACGG
rnacentral:rRNA from 1 species